AAUUUACACUGAACAACAUAAAAAAAAAAAGAUCUUGGUGAGUUAAUGGAGUCUAAGCGUAAAGGAUUCAAGAAAGGUAAGAUGAUCAUGUCUCUGUAUCAGGCACCAAAGACAUCAUCUUCUGUUCAGUAUAGCAACAAGCCUAUGCCUAGCCAAUCUGGUACAAUGGUUUCUACAGGUUUCUAUAGCGAUGAUCAUUCAACAAAGCAGAAGCACUCUUAUCUUGCCUCUGAUACAAGAAAUGACUCCUAUGGUUGUGUUGAACUAUACAACUAUGAUGAAGGCAUCGAUGACAGGGCUACAAGUUAUAUAUCAGGCGUUCGAAAGCGUUUUAGUCUUGAAAGGGGGGAUUGAUCAAGUAUAUUGGGAGAUGUUCUGCAUGAGUUAACCUUGAAAGAACAUCUUACCAAGGUAUGAAACAAGGAGUACUUAGAACCUCCAUAGGGUUAACUUACGUAUGUUUUGUGAUCAUACCAAAGGUUAUUUUGGGCUUUUUUCAUGCUUCUAUGGCACCUACAGUAGAGAUCUCUAGGACAUCUCUUGUAGAUGCAGUAAAUACCAAAAUUUUCUUCCUAACCAUGUGCUGCAAAAACUCCUUUCAGAGGCACUAUCUUCCCCCGUUUACCUUUGUCCCUGUGUGGUGGCCUAUAUAUGUAUGCCUUUUCAGGGGAAUAUAUAUUUCUUGUA